UACGGAGGGAGCUAGCGUUAUUCGGAAUUACCGGGCGUAAAGCGCACGUAGGCGGCUUUGCAAGUUAGAGGUGAAAGCCUGGGGCUCAACUCCAGAACUGCCUUUAAAACUGCAUCGCUUGAAUCCAGGAGAGGUGAGUGGAAUUCCGAGUGUAGAGGUGAAAUUCGUAGAUAUUCGGAAGAACACCAGCGGCGAAGGCGGCUCACUGGCCCGGUACUGACGCUGAGAUACGAAAGCGUGGGGAGCAAACAGG
rnacentral:rRNA from 1 species